rnacentral:tRNA from 1 species
UGGGAUGUAGCUCAGUAGAGAGUGGAUGCUUGGUAUGUGUGAGGCCCUGGGUCAGAUCCCCAGCAUCCCCA